AUCUAUGGCCAUGCCACCCUGAACAAGCCUGAUCUCGGAAGUUAAGCAGGGUCGGGCCUGGUUAGUACUUGGAUGGGAGACCACCUAGGAAGACCAGGUGCUGUAGGCG
rnacentral:rRNA from 1 species